UACAGUUUUUUCACACAUAUGGUUACGUACACACAUUUUCCUGCCUACCAUAUUAGGACAUGUUCCUGUCUCCCAGCACCUGCACUCUGCUUUUCUGCUGAUAUGAGAAGGGAGUGCUUGGCCCGUUAAUCUUUUCACAUCCUUUCCUACUCCUACAGUUCUUCAUUAUUUUUCUGCUUCACUACACUCAAGGCCAAGUUUGUGCAACAACACUUCUGCAAGCCACAAUGUCUUAUACUAACACAGGUUAUACAUUUUAUUUCCCACACUGUUUAUGAACAUAAUAAUAAUUAAUGCACACACAUAAUAUAUGUCCACACAUAGUAGUUAAUUCCUUUGUGUUUAGGUUCUUAGUUUAUUCUUGUGAUUUUUGGAUUUUGAUCCAUUUCUCUCCCCUUUUUCCCAUAGGUUUGUAGUUUUAUUGUGUCUAGUUCACCUUCCCCCAGUCUGCCUGUUUGCUCUCCUCUAUAGCUGUUCCUAAUCCCCUGAAAAACUCACCUGCAUUUAAUGUCAUUCUCCACUCUCACCACAGUAUAUAAGCUCACCGGUUUUCAUUAUUAUAACAACAAUUACUUUGCCUGAGCUCCAUGUCCUGUUUUCCUUAUGUAAGAUCUGUAAGUUAUCUUUUUUAUUUAUUAAACAUCCACCAAGCUCAUCCCAUGACAUGCUUUAAUCAGGUGAUACCACAGCACUUUUCUUAAUUCUGCCUAAGAAAGCUUGUUCACUGCAAUUGGUUUAGAGGGUGAGAAGAAAGAAUUAUUAAGCUCACACAAAUGGUGACAACAUCAAAUAACUUUGCAAAUAACCAUUCACAUAACCAGAAUAUAAAUUGUAAACGUACAUUCCACUUUUGUAACAGUCUGAAUACAAACUAUAAAAAAGGCUAUUUAUUCUUGCCUAACACUAACAUCAGUCAACCUAACUGGCCUUGGCUGGUUCACCAGUUAACUAAAAGAAGGCAUUCAAACAAAAACAGGAUUUGGAAAAAUUGUAGUGGAACUAAUAGAACUUGCCCUUUAAGAAAUAGUCUGUCCACUGGGUUUAAUGUACUGUUGUGAAUGGUUGAUGCAAUGAGGUGACACAUAUCACCAAAAACAGCACUUUAUGAGCAGAUUUUACUUUAUGGUUCUUGUUUGUUAUUAUGUUUCACACACUGGCUGGGGCAAUAAAAAAAAACAUGGAUAAAUGUGAAGCUGCUGCUACACACAACACUGAAUGAAGAAGCACAGACACACCCUUUGUAAGCUUAAAGACAGAGUUGAGGUUGUCCAUGGGAUUAAAACUAUGGUUGUUUUUAUUUCAAAUGGUUUAAAUAGUUUAACUUCAGUAGUUGUUUGCUAUAAAAAAAUAAUGAUCAGCCUUUCUGAAGCUAACCAAAAGUGAAUAGCAGUUUGUAUGUUUUCCAGUUACAUUGUUGAUGAAUCUUAUCCUUUAAUAGCAUGAGACCUGUUUUUCUUGCUUAAACAACAAUUACACAUGUUCGAUCAUGACAGCACAAUGUACCUUGUCACAGUAAGCAACAGCUGGCACAGCAUCAACAAAUAUCUAAGUAGCAGGUAACUCGCACAGGAGACACGCUCAUGUAGCACCUCACAGCUGGAUGCUGAUUGCAUAAAUUACACACAACUGUCACCACAAAAUCCUAGCUUGCACUCUGCCAACAAUUUAACAAAUCCUUAGUUUUCUUUUUUCACAUUUUGGCAGAACUGGUUUAUAUAAACACCAAUUUCUGGGCUAAAAUGAUUAAAUGACAUUUUCAUAUGACGAAUGCUCUUUGAAAUUUGAAAUCAUUUGUACAGAUUAGGUCUUUUUUUUUUGUCUCGUGAGGACCCAUAUUGAUAAUUCAGGCCUAUGAAUAUUCCUAUACUUUAAAAAUAACUGACCUCCCAUCGGGGUCACUUACAUGUAAAUAUAUUAACUGCAGGCUCAUUAACUAACCCUUAAAACUGACUGGUUAAACUGAUUUACACUGCAUCCGCUCCGCUCAGGUACGAACACUUGAGUAAAUACGUACCAAUUAUAGUCAAUGAGAGCAUUUACACUGACUCCGUGGAGCAGUGCGGAGUGGCGGCAUGCAAAAAACGAAAAGUAAAGCAGUCUUAACUGGUUUGACUUCCACAGAAUGAGUUGUUUUGAACUAACUUCCGCAUUUAUCACUUGCUUUUAUUGCACGAUCGGCACAUGCUUCUUGGAGCACCUCUGGACUUUGCAGCGGACUGAAGAAGAGUGGAGCGGAGCAGAGCGGAUGUAAUGUAAAUCCAGGGUAACGCUUCUCUUGUAACAUCCUGCAGGAAUGUGUGACCUGAAGAAUCUCCUUUCCAUUAGCAAGGACGGGCCAAAUGUGAACUUUAAGUUUCUGAAUGACUUCCAGCGAGAACAUGCUGAACUUCAUGGAGGACGGCAGCUAAUUUCUUUUGGAAGCUGUGGACUCCAUACUCUACACAACUCACUCAAAACUGGCUUCUCCAUAUGGAAUCUUGAGAAACUAUUAAGAGCAACGCACUUUGUUUUUCACAACAUUCCUGCAAGAAGAGAGGACUACACUAAACUUACUGGCUUGUCUCUGUUUCCACUCCCAUUCUGUGGACACAGAUGGGUGGAAAAUCUGGCUGUUACAGAGAGAGCCAUUGAGGUCUGGCCAAAGCUAAGAGUAUGUAGUGGCAGUCCACAGAAAAGAACUCCCGAACCCUGGAACCUCAUCUUUUGAUAAUGUUGAAGCAGUGCAUAAAGAUCCCCUGAUCUUAGCCAAACUUCAUUUUUUCAUGUCGAUAUGCAGAACUUUCUGCCCAUUCUUGACCAAGUACCAGACGGACGAGCCUGUCCUGCCAUUCCUAUGCAAAGACUUGACCGAACUGAUGAUGGUGAUGCUCUUGUGCAGCAGUUUGACAGCUUUCUCUCUCAGCAUGGCAACAGCCAGGAAUUUCUCUCCUUCAAACCCAUGGAUCAGCGGCUUGAUGGUUUUCUUCAUCAAACUCUCGACCAGACUUAUCCUGAGUUGCAGAGUUUUUUUUAAUGCCUGCUGCUCUUAUCUCAUGGCCAACCUACAGUGGAGAGAGGCUUCUCUGUCAACAAGAAAGUCCCUGCAACAUAACUGAGCAAACUGUUGAGGCCCAGAGACUAGUCUUUGACCAGGUCAGAGCUUGUGGGGUUGUUCUCAAAGUGCCACUCACUAAAGAACUACUGGCUUCUGUAGCCUCAGCCAGGACAAAAUACAGGAUGUACCUCGAUGAAGAGAGGAGGAAGCGAGAGGGUGCAAUGCGUGGACUUAAAAGAAAAGCAGUGGAGGAAGAUCUGGAAGCACUGAGAAAGAAAAAAAGCUGUGUUGACAGAGGUGUGCACCAGCCUUCAGAAGGACGCUGAUGAACUUGCUGAGAAAGCUGAAAACAAAGCAGGCAAACUCAUGGCUCAAAUGAUUACCAAAUCAAAUACUCUGAGGAGGAGACACAAGGAGAAAUGCCUUGAACUCAAAAACGUUGAGACAGAGUUGCAGCAAAAAGGAAAUGAACUAAAACUUAUGCAGUAUUAAGCAUACACAAUUAUUAAAGAUUAUAAUUUUUA